AUUACCUCCUAGCCUUUAGCUGAAAUCAAACGUAGCAUUUGUUCGGUUUCACAUCUGAUAUAUCCUCCAUCUGAGUACAACAUAUUAAAUGGAUUUUUGGAGAAGGGAGAUACAAUAGGAGCUUGCUCUGACCACUCCAUGAACUGACCCGGGAUUGCGGUACUUUCAGGACCAGCACGCCCCCA
ensembl:snRNA U2 U2 spliceosomal RNA